rnacentral:lncRNA from 1 species
GAUAGGCCUCGCCGUCCAGAAAGUGAGUGGCAAGCCAAACUCUGUCCCUCUCCUCGACGAAGGUAUCUCGAAACAGCUUCUCCAUGUGCAGCAACCACUUCUCAACAAUCCAGUGGUCGACGUUCUCGCCAUCAAACGUCCUCGGGCUGCACCUCCUAAACUCACUGAGGCGAUCCAUGAGCCGAUCCCGCUCGGCUCCCUCGGCCAUCACGGGGAACGCCGCCCUUG